rnacentral:rRNA from 1 species
UACACACCGCCCGUCACACCAUGGGAGUGGGUUUUACCAGAAGGCAGUGGGCCGACCUGCGAGGGGGGCCGCUGACCACGGUAGGAUCCAUGACUGGGGUG